rnacentral:lncRNA from 1 species
UGUUUUUACUUAGACAUAAGUAUUUCAUAAGUCUACAAUCAACUUGUCUGACAGAAAAUUAAGAAUAUAUUAAUUUUCUGAAUAAUUUUGAUCAACAGCUGCACUGUCAAUUUAAAGACCGGGAGUUCUUCCAAGGACCACAAGGACAAACAAUGCUUCAAAUCCAACUUCCUGGCUUUAUUAUUGAUGAGAGAGAGGGAGAUCCUAACUUGGUUGCAUGUAUUUCAACCUUACCGGAAAAGAGGCAGGAAAAUAAAAUGUGGAUCUCGUAUUUGUGAAACAAAUACAAGAAACAAAUGAAAAGGCAUUAUCAUGUCCGGUUAACUAUGGGAAAACAAAGCUGUUUAUGUCUCAGUUCUAUAGUUGUGUUAAAGGAUCUCAAAAGAUAGAAACUGCAUGAUGUUGAACAGACAACUAGAAGAAACAACAGGUUUCAGAGAAUUAUGGCAUUGCUUCUCAGUCUUCAGUUACUACUUCAAAGCAUUGCUUUACUUUUUCUCUGAAUAUUAUGGUAAUAACCUUCAUUCUUCUUACAACUCGGAGAAAUUAUCCAAUGCAAUUUUGUUUUAUAGUUUCUGCCAUUCCCUCCUUCUGUCUCCCGUUACAGCAAUGAAUACUAGUUUUCAGGUGCAGGUAUUAAGAGGGCAAUGGGGGGGAUAUAAAAUGCACAGAGGAGGAUUUGCUUUCUCAUAUAUGGGUUCUGUAACUUGUAAGUGAGUAGAUAUUGGAGGAUGGGUGCACAGUGAAACUUUCAUGGACUUCUUGUUAGUAGUAACAAGAACACCUUCAAAUAUUCAUCCUACUUUGCAGUGGCAAUAUGUGUAUCAGUCCAUAGUGAUAUUUUUCUAAAAUACAGUUUCCAGAGGGCACAGUUGAGCCACUUAGUUUGCAUUUCCCAGUGUAGACUGCUCUCUGACUUCCUGAGGGUGGCAUCUUCUGGCCCUGUCUCCUUUCUACAGAAGUGAUGGUAUGUGGGCUCUCACCUAGUUUCAAACUGGACUACUUUUUCAUGACGGUGAUGAAGCCAUUUA